GCUUGGCUGGCUCUCUGCUUCGCUGUUUGUUCCUGGGCUUCAGCGAUUACAGAGCCCCAGUUCUAGAGGCCUAAAGUUAUUCUGUCCUAGAUUUCACUGCACUGUGACCACAUCUCGGAUUUGGUUGAGGCUGUGGUAAAACGUUAUCUGAUUGUAGGCUCUGGCCCUGCGCUUGCAAUCAGAUCCGAAGGAGGAGGCUUGCCAUUUGAGCUCCAAGAGCCUGCCUGUAUGGAUCCGAUUUCAGAAUAUUCUCCUAUGACAUCCCCAGGAUAAGCAUAGCAACCCAGGAUAGGGCAGAGACCCCACAAAUGAAAAUAAAGGAGAAUGUCUCUUGCAGGUCUUUUCCUUCAAAGCAUAGACCAUUUAUAGUUCCUGACCCAUUAAUGAAGAAGCCGGCACCAGCAUUUUAACCAAAUAUAUAGUUGUUCCUACAAUAAGAGUCUGUCCGAAGCACAUCUUUACUGUGGAAGGAAGGACUGGAAAAAGAACUGAGAAAACCCUAUAUUUUUCAUUUAAAAACAUCUUCUGUGAUGACCUUUAGUGAGGCUGGUUUAACAAUAUUCACAGAGGCAAUAGCAUUCACAACCUUCUCAACGGUGCUGGACUUCUAACCCCUGCACAGGGGAGAUUUGUUCAUACGCUUCAGGAUCGGCAGAGUAACUGUGCUGGACAACAUAGUCCAACGUUCUGUUUCUGACAUCAGCUACCCCAGCUUUAAAGUCAGGAGCUCCAACAGAGGCCCAUGAGGGAAGACAUACGAGGAGGCCGAUUCUGCAGUCUGACUCAGAUGAAACAGGACUUGCUCUGAGGAGUGCAUGCAUUGAUUUCCAUGAGGCAGCCUAAUAUUGGAAUACUAAGGUACUGACGGAGUUGAACCCUACAUUCUAAUGUUCAAACUCUGUUUAAGUAAUGAAUCACACAGUGCUUUAUUGCACUUGUACUUGGUACUGUCCUCAGUGGAAACUAACAACAUAGUAUGUGAUACACAGGUAAAAAGGAAAAGACAAAGGUAACUUCAUUUUUUUCCACAGUCUUUUGCUAAGAAUAGUUAAUCAAGUGAGCAGAGAUAACGAGGCAUACAAAAACUUGUUAUCAGCGCUCUGACAAGCCUUAGCACAAUAGCUGCAGCAACUUGCACGUUAUUUGCUUUAUGUAUAGGAAAUUAAUCCAGCACUGAAAACUUUCAUUUGUUUAAAAAAAAAAAGUGUAAAACUAGCAUUCUUUAAACUCAAACUUAUUCCCCCCUUUUUCUGAACCACUGUGUACAUAUUGGCAUUUCAGAUGUGAUACUGCCUUCUUCACUUUUUGCCAGAAUUUGGCCAGAGUACAAUCUAAAGCAGAGUUUGACAACCUAUGGUAUGCAUGUCAAAGAUGGCUCACAGUUUACGAAAGGCUGGCAGCAGAGCUGGCAUGAAGUUAGGAGCCAUGACGUAUUGAGAGAGUUGGCUAAGGGAGGCAAUAUUUUCUUGUACAGAAUUUAGCAGAAGCCCCAGAGCUGGGAAGCCCCUUCUUCGUACUGCUGAUCUUAAAACCAGCUGAUUUGUGUUUCUUUGAGAUGUGUUUUUUAGAUUCUACGAGCUUUCUGUCAGCAUGCUCAACCUUUCAUUUGGGAAAGAAGAGCACAAUCUAGCACACCGCAUUGGGAAGAUCCCUGACCCUUGAACAUCUGAACUUUGGUAUCUUACUGUGAACAUCGAGAUUUUUAGUCAUGUUUUGGGCCUGAGUAAUUCUAACUAUUGCUUGAUUAAGUGCUACCCAGUUCCUCAGGGUUUUUUAAAAAAGCUACAGCCUUUAAUUAAUUCCCUGAAGGGUUUUGUAUUCUCUUCAACUCCCAUUCUGAUUUUCUGUCUUUCUGCAUGUUCAUAUGCAUUCGGCAGCUAAGCAACUAUGCUAAAAAAAGUUCUUGUAAAACACCAAAAUGGUGUUUCCCUCCAGCAACCUUUCGUAGAACAAGGUAACUGCAAAUUACAGAGAGGGUCAGGAAUUUUGCUGCCAGCUGAUUUGAGACCUACGAGAACACAUAACUGUACAACAUUUUUUGCUCAUUAUUAUUGAUUGAAAAGAAGCUUAAAAUUAUGUUUCUACAGAGGCCUUUUGAGAUACAGUGGCCAGCAUUAAAUGAAAUACUCAGAUUCGCAAUGCACAUUUAAAGGCUGAGACAUCCACAGCAGCAUUGCAAAGAUGGCAGAUUAGUUCUGCUCAGGUAUGUGUGAUGCUUAUGAGAGCUCCUCAGCAUGUCUGCUGGUGAAGUUAGAGGUAGUUUAAUUAAAAUUUUGGAUACCGAUGGAGAGCAAGAACAGUUUAUGCUCAGUGACAAUUUAUGAGCAGUAAAUAAGUGUAAUAUAUAAGUUAAAAGCACAUUUUGUUGAGAAAGCAGCAAAGAAGUAAAUAUAACAUUAUGUAUUAAGGCCUGACCCCACAAAUAUUUACUUACCUUUCCUAAGAUUAUUCACUAGACAGUCCUGUGGAAUUUAGAGAGGCUUCCCUGGGGGAAGAUUACUUGUCCUCGAGUAUAACUUUACUAAUUCUACAGGCUCAUGAUCUGAUUAUUUAGCUCCACAAAACUUGUUUAACUUCAAAUACUUAUUGGAUAAUUAUGAAUAAAAGCAGAAAGCUAUAUUUAAUAUUAAAAUGAAGAAAACAAAGACAAAAUUAGGAAAUACCUCAGGGCUGGGCUGAACUGUUUGAUCUGAAACAUAAGCCGUAUGAAUAAAUCAAAUCUAGGAAGAAAGAUUUUAACUCAAAUGACUUCUGUUUAUUGAAACUCGUGGGAAUGUAACUGCACAAAUGACUCAUGUAUGCACUCAGGUGUAUUUGAAUAUGUGUAAUACAACAUGCUUCUAAGGUUCAUGUGCAGAUACGCAUGCUGCUCAGAAUGACAUCAGUGGCUGUAUCCUAGACAAGUGAAGUCUUAUGACAGAGGUGACAGAUUGUAUACAAGUAAUAAAGGCAAAGUAAAGUUGUUGCAAGAGAAAGCACAUCUAAUUGUUUCACAGUGUGUAUUUGGGUAGUGCUGAAAAAACUUUCAGAAGCAAUUACUCAUUUGGGGGGGUCAAAGAGAAAUGUCACUGCAGUUUUCAGAAGUACUGAAUAUUCAAGAUUAAUGAAUGUUUUAUUUGAGUACUUACAGAAGGAGAGUCAAUAUUUCUGGAAACUGGCUUUUACUUAUGAGCUUUAAAAUCCUGACUUCACCCACCUCUGAAGUUUUUUCCCUGACUUUCACAGAAUGACCAUAGACUACACACUCAAAAGAAGAUGCUCUGAUGAUAGAAGAACUCAUGUGGAAAUAUUUUGGUUUUACUCAGAAGUAAAAUACAAUGUAUUUUGUGCUUUUUUUUUGUCCUCAAGGUGUUAUUUGCUAUUUGUCAAGUUGAAGAUCAUGCACAAGAGUGAAACUUAUUUUACCAAAAAUUGUUACAGGAAUAAUUGAUUGCCAAGUGUAUAGUCAAAACCAGUUUAUGAACACUUUUGAGAAAGACAUUUUCAUAAAGUCCUGUUCCAGAAGACAGCAGUACAUAUUUAAAUUAAAAAAAAAAAAAAGUCUGAAGUAUAAGGAUAGGUAUGUUCUGAUAAUAUGUACAAAUUGUACUUACUGACUGUGUUGCUCUAUUAUGUACAGAUAGUCUGUAAACUCCUUUAAGACAGAACAAACUCUUUAGAGAUAUUCUUAUGACCUGGUUUAUGAUAUUCAUAAAUGUUAUCGCUGAGGAUGCAGAAAGCAAUUUUUUCUCAACUUUAUCUCCAUGAAUAAUAGUUGACAAAGGCUCUUCAGGAUGAAAUGUCACAGCCUUUUUUCCUGUGGCUUGUGAUAAAAGUGAACCAUCAAAACGUUAGGUUGACUGUAAGUUUUUCUUAGAGAAGAGUUUAUUAUGUCUGCAUGCCCAGAAUUUUUUUCAGUUCUCAUAAUCAACUCUAAGGCCAUAGUAUAUGACAAAAGUAAAGGAAAUGGAGGUAAUAUUAAUUUGCACCUGCUAAUACAAACACAGCUGUACCACCUCCUACCAGUUAGAUAAAAAUUUUGUCUGCAAAGUUCAUAUCUGGGACUAAAUAUCAAAGAUUGUCAGUGUUAAGUUUAUUUCCUUAUGGCUUCUUACAGCUUUACUGCACCUACACUGGCAAUCCCCACUUGUAUAAAAACAACUUUAAUGGGUAAUUCUUUUGCCUCCGUAACUGAGUAAAAUGAUCAAAAGCGAUUUUUUUCUUCCCAUAUAGUAAUGCCCUUGUGGAACGCAUUGCUGCAUACAAGUAGUGAGAAAGUGUGUGGUGUUUUUUUUUU